rnacentral:rRNA from 1 species
AAGGGCACCACCAGGAGUGGAGCUUGCGGCUUAAUUUGACUCAACACGGGAAAACUCACCCGGCCCGGACACCAUAAGGAUUGACAGAUCGAUAGCUUUUUCAUGAUUUGGUGAUGGUGGUGCAUGGCCGUUCUUAGUUCGUGGAGCGAUUUGUCUGGUUUAUUCCGAUAACGAGCGAGACUCUAGCCUACUAACUAGUCUGCACAUAGCCUUGUGAUGCUGUACUUCUUAGAGGGAUUAUCGGUGUACAGCCGCACGAGAAAGAGCAAUAACAGGUCUGUGAUGCCCUUAGAUGUCCGGGGCUGCACGCGUGCUACACUGGUGUAGUCAGCGUGCUUGUCCUUUCCCGAAAGGGAUUGGUAAACCAAUCAAUUUUUGCCGUGAUUGGGAUCGGAAAUUGCAAUUAUUUUCCGUGAACGAGGAAUUCCAAGUAAGUGCGAGUCAUCAACUCGCGUUGAUUACGUCCCUGCCCUUUGUACACACCGCCCGUCGCUGCCCGAGACUGAGCCAUUUCGAGAA